rnacentral:lncRNA from 1 species
UGAAGGUGUUGCCCAAGAUUGAGUCUCGGCAGAAGCAUAGAAUGGAACUUAAAGGCAACUAUCCAUAGCCCAAUUAGUUCUAAAGUAUGCGAACUGAUUUUCAGUGAAGCAACUCCAUCGCAAGACAUCCAUUCAAUCUAUCAUGAUUAGACUAACAUUUAACAAUCAACGUUCCAAAAAACGAUGUUUGCAAAUUGCUUCCUGAUCCAAUUUAAACUGUUAACAUUUGGAUUAUAACCUUAAUAGUUAAACUACAUGAUACUUAAUUUUAAACAACACUACUAAGUUGACAUUCGACUACAUUACAUCAAUUUAAAUUCCCGUUCACCUAAGCUAGAAUUGAGUGCUCAAAUGAUUUUUUAAUUACAGACUAACUUAACUACAGAACUUCAGCCAUGUUCGAAACUAUUUUUAUAACUGCAAAACAAAUAAGAAUUCCAACUCUUUGCACAAACCAGAAAGAGUAACAACACACAGUCCAAUAUUGGUCCCAAUUAACACAACAAGCUACAAAUGUUCUAGUUAUGCAACCUUGUUAAUCGAAUAAUUACUAUGAAAUCAACUACAAGCUACUAUUCAACGGGAAGCAAUCUUCAGAGUAUAAAUUUGAUGAAACUUCUUCAUUCCACUUCCAAUUCAACAGUUACAUUGUGACAAGUUCAAAAUGGUACCUGAAGUAUGAUUCAAAUAAGAAGAAGAGAGGUAGUCAGCGGCAGCAGCAAGAUAUGAUAAUCAACUUCCCAAGGUACCUGAAGUAUGAUUCAAAUUAGAAGAAGAGAGGUAGUCUGCGGCAGCAGCAAAGCAACAGAAAGAUAUGAUAAUCAACUGCCCAGAAGUGAAUUUAGAGUCCAGAAAAUUCAGUAACCAAAAGAGAACUCAUCAAGUCAAUCCUCAACUAGCUUGAAUAAUCCAAUUUUAACUCGAAACAAAACCCAAAUUCCACACACAUACAACAGAAGACCCAGCUGAAGCUCAGAACCAACAAUUCCCAAAAUCUGCCGGUGACUUUAUAUCCUAAGUAAAUUAAUAAGCUAAAUCACUGGCUCAACAAUUCAAAAAUGAGCUAGUGAGGCAAUGAAAUAGUAAAUAUUUUUGGUUUUUCUAUUUUUUGGACUUUUUGGUUUUGUAGUUUUCUAUAUCUAAAACUGAAAUGCAAGGAAACUCAGAAUUUUCUUUUUGAAAAUUUUUAAGGCUGAAGGAAGAAGACUCUUUUUUGUUUUUUUAGAGUUUUUUUUUGUUUUUGGGUUUUUGAAUCUAAGGAAAACUAAAACCUACAAUUUCUGAAUUGAAAUUAAGCUUCAAAUCUGAAAAAUGAGUAGUCUACUAGGAAAUUCUUAGCUGAAGGAAGAGAAGCCCUUUUACAAGGCAUCUAAUGCCUUUUUAUAGAAGUAAAGUAGGGCAACCCUCCAAAUCUACUGGGGAAUUUUUGGCUGCAGGAAGAAGAACCCCUUUCACAAGGCAUCUAAUGCCUUUUUAUAGAAGUAAAGUAGGGCAGCCCCUCAAAAUUUCAGUUUUCACUACUAAUCCCUACUUAUUUUCAGCCUUGGUCCCUCAUUUUUAAACUUGUGUUGCAAGUAAUGCCUCAAACUUCCUGAAAUGUAUACUUAAGUCCUACUUUGGCAUGUCCUAAAAGGUUCUAUCAUACUCUUAUUCCCUAUGAAUCCCUAAACUACCCUUGCCUAGUUCCUAAAAUUGCCAAUUCUAAUAAUCUUACCCUUUUCCCAUGCUCAAACUGCCCUUGCCAACCCUUAAAACUACUGCAGCCUUUUCCCCUUAACCAUAGUCAAGUAACUGGGAUUAACUAAUCAUUCAAUAGCUAAAUCAUCUAAAACUAGGUUCAAGCUCAAAUUUCAAAUCAAAAGCUAAUUAUUGAAGUUCAAAUCACUUACUAUCAACAAAUCAGACUAACGAAUCACUUUGGCCAUAUUAUCAGUAUGAAACUAACGUACUAAUCACAAUUUAUUAAACAAAUUUAGGCUAGUCAAUCGCUCAAAACCAAUACCCAUUAGAACAUAGAAUUGACUUCAAAGAUGCAAACAGAAACAGUUUGCAAAAAUGAAAAGAACUUAAUAGUGAAUUAUAACAGUCUGAACUAUGAAUGAAAUUAAAAGAGGAAAACACAUGAAUAAAAAAAAUGGAACUGAGACUAAUCCCUAAAAAAAUAUAGCAUGACACAUGUAAUCAAACACACCAAAAAAGAAACAGAAAGAAAAAAAUUAAAAAGAAAACUCACUGGUUUAAAAUCUUCACCUUAACUAAACUUGAUCCUAAUCUUUAUUUAAUGUUGCAUGUCUAUUUCAUCUGAAAUAGACAUGUAACAUUAACUCAAAAAUUAGGUGGAUGCUUGAACCCCCAAAACAUGCAUGAACUUUUUGAAACCUAGAUUUGAAAUCCAUUCAAUUCCCCUUGGAUUCGAGGGAUUUUGGUUAAGGAUUAAGGGUGAGGGUGGUCAGGGGACUAUGGGAUGUGAUUUUGGGUGGAUUUGGACAAUUGUUGGUUUUGGGGCAGAUCUUCAAACCAAUACUCGAGCAAGGGUGAUUUGAUUCGAGGCAAAUGGUUGGUAUGGUUGUAAAGAGGAGAUUGAGGAGAGCCAACGGUGUUCGUGGGGUGGGGUUUGGCCACCAGCACCGCCAUUAUCUGUGAAGGAGUUUCAGGGUGGCGGUCUAGGGUUUCUGAGGAAAGGGUGUGAGGGAGACGAUGGGGGU